UCUCAAAGGCACGUACCGGUGGUCCAUGUGCCUUUAACUACAGUGACAGUUCGAUCAUGUGUAUUUGACUGUCCCCCACCUUCCUGAUGCCUUUAAGAAGCAGCCCUGGAAGCCCCUCUGGGUCAGACUCUGUCCUUUCCAGAGGCUCAUCACCAUCAUAUCCAAAGGGGUGCCCACCCGGGGUGAAGACCCUCCCUCAAACAACCUCUGAUUGGCUAGUACCCGUACCCGUUGCCUUCGUGGGUCGUUAGUUCUGGGCAGAGCCGUUGAGAGAGACUGGCUUCUGGGUGACUGGUGUCAGUCUCUCCUCAUUAGCCAUUUCCUCUCUUUCUUCACUCUCACUUUCCCUCCUCUGAGUCUCCUCAUCCCUUUUACUCCCGAUCUUUGAAUCUGAUGAAAGUCCAGGGAUGGAUCGUGGUGCAGGAGCUCUCCUCUUUUUGACCACAGGGCGAUGCACAAAGAUGCACAAGAAUGGGAAACUCAAUGGAUCCCGAAGACUCCCAAUGCUCUAACCCCUGCAAUGAGACAGCACCCUCUCCCUGAUUCUCAACAAUAGCUCCCUGGAUUUGCAAACAUUUCCCUGUUCCUUAUAUUGAAUAAACCAAACAAACCCUGUGCUGUGAUCUUUGUGAAAAAGUGCAAAUACAGUGUUUGAAUAUGAUUACCUCA